UUUAUAAAACAGCGGAGCCUCCAUGAAAGCAGUGAAUCCAUUGACAUCGCGUCCACGAAUGGUGUUUUCAAUAAAAAUCUCUACUCGUUAACACAGCAUGUGAAGGAGUCACAGCAGGACAAGAGACAUUCAUUCACGAACUAUGAAUGCGUUAAUGAUGUCAUUGAUGAUAAAUGUGACACACGACAUGUGCAGAUCGAUGUCCGAGAUCCGUUACCAUCGUCACUGCCUUGUGGCAACAAACAAGGAUCGUACAUGGCAUUGUUCGCGUCGAUGCAUAGGACACUUUGACCAUUUGAAGGAAUUAGUCUUCUGAAUUUAGUGCAAUGCAAGUAUAAUUGGUUCUAAAAGCAUGAUCUAUCCUGAUUUACUGACCGCAAUGUAUUUGUCACUGCUUGGUAUUGAGGAGUUUUAAGUUGUAGUUAUUUACGUUAACUAUGAAUAUGUCCAUUAGGGUGAUAAUUAUGUUCAAUAAUAUGUAUGUGAUUUGCUUACAUUGUUGUA